rnacentral:rRNA from 1 species
UCGAACGGUAACGGGCCCGCAAGGGUGCCGACGAGUGGCGGACGGGUGAGGAACACAUCGGAAUUUGCCCAGUCGUGGGGGAUAACGUAGGGAAACUUACGCUAAUACCGCAUACGACCGGAAGGUGAAAGCGGGGGAUCGCAAGACCUCGCGCGAUUGGAUGAGCCGAUGUCGGAUUAGCUAGUUGGUAGGGUAAAGGCCUACCAAGGCGACGAUCCGUAGCUGGUCUGAGAGGAUGAUCAGCCACACUGGGACUGAGACACGGCCCAGACUCCUACGGGAGGCAGCAGUGGGGAAUAUUGGACAAUGGGGGCAACCCUGAUCCAGCAAUGCCGCGUGUGUGAAGAAGGCCUUCGGGUUGUAAAGCACUUUUGUCCGGAACGAAACGUGUCGGGUGAAUAUCCCGGCAAACUGACGGUACCGGAAGAAUCAGCACCGGCUAACUUCGUGCCAGCAGCCGCGGUAAUACGAAGGGUGCAAGCGUUACUCGGAAUUACUGGGCGUAAAGCGUGCGUAGGUGGUUUUUUAAGUCCGUUGUGAAAGCCCUGGGCUCAACCUGGGAAUGGCAGUGGAUACUGGAAAGCUAGAGUGCGGUAGAGGGUAGUGGAAUUCCCGGUGUAGCAGUGAAAUGCGUAGAGAUCGGGAGGAACACCAGUGGCGAAGGCGGCUACCUGGACCAGCACUGACACUGAGGCACGAAAGCGUGGGGAGCAAACAGGAUUAGAUACCCUGGUAGUCCACGCCCUAAACGAUGCGAACUGGACGUUGGGAGCAACUUGGCUCUCAGUGUCGAAGCUAACGCGUUAAGUUCGCCGCCUG